rnacentral:rRNA from 1 species
AGCGAACGCUGGCGGCAGGCCUAACACAUGCAAGUCGAACGGUAACAGGCCGCAAGGUGCUGACGAGUGGCGAACGGGUGAGUAAUGCAUCGGAACGUGCCCAGUCGUGGGGGAUAACGCAGCGAAAGCUGCGCUAAUACCGCAUACGAUCUAUGGAUGAAAGCGGGGGACCGUAAGGCCUCGCGCGAUUGGAGCGGCCGAUGUCAGAUUAGGUAGUUGGUGGGGUAAAGGCUCACCAAGCCAACGAUCUGUAGCUGGUCUGAGAGGACGACCAGCCACACUGGGACUGAGACACGGCCCAGACUCCUACGGGAGGCAGCAGUGGGGAAUUUUGGACAAUGGGCGCAAGCCUGAUUCAGCAAUGCCGCGUGCAGGAAGAAGGCCUUCGGGUUGUAAACUGCUUUUGUACGGAACGAAAAGGCUCUGGAUAAUACCUGGGGCUCAUGACGGUACCGUAAGAAUAAGCACCGGCUAACUACGUGCCAGCCGCCGCCGUAACAC